AAGGUCAUUAUUUCUCAUCUUACCUGUUUCUUUUCUCCUUAAAGGCAUCACUUUGGUCAGAGAGCACCGAUGUCUCAGCUGCAGAGAACGUGGAAACGCUUACAGUCCUGCUCAGAACCUCUGCUGCUUUGGCUUUGCUCAUCCGUCACUCGGUGCUCCACGGCUGCAGACAUGUUUCGCAUAAAAACCUGCGAGCAGAAAACAAACCAACAUUUCCUUCA